AGGGAAUAUUGGACAAUGGGCGAAAGCCUGAUCCAGCCAUGCCGCGUGAAGGAUGAAGGCCCUCUGGGUUGUAAACUUCUUUUAUCUGGGAAGAAACUCUUGGAUUCAUCCAAGCCUGACGGUACCAGAGGAAUAAGCACCGGCUAACUCCGUGCCAGCAGCCGCGGUAAUACGGAGGGUGCAAGCGUUAUCCGGAUUCACUGGGUUUAAAGGGUGCGUAGGCGGGUUGGUAAGUCAGUGGUGAAAGCCCCGAGCUUAACUUGGGAACUGCCAUUGAUACUGCCAGUCUUGAAUACGGUUGAGGUAGGCGGAAUAUAGCAUGUAGCGGUGAAAUGCUUAGAUAUGCUAUAGAACACCGAUUGCGAAGGCAGCUUACUAAGCCGUUAUUGACGCUGAGGCACGAAAGCGUGGGGAGCAAAC
rnacentral:rRNA from 1 species